CCUAAUUAACUCUUAUAGUUAGAAUUGUCAAUCAAAUGGCAAGAACAUGUAAAAAACUUGAAGUCUCUAGAAUCUUAAAUCUUUCCUUCUUCAUUUACAUUUUUAUCUUUUCCUAUUAAAUGUGCUCACUAAUUGAACAUUUAUCUCAUGUCAACUUUGUGUCAGGCACUGGCGAGACCAAGAGGAAUAACAUGGUCCCCACCCUCAAGGGAUCCUCAGUCCAAAGUUAUCUUGUGAUUGGUGCCACAGUGAGGUAUUUACGCAAUAUAUUGGCGACACAGGAGAGAAUGACUAAGUCUUGACAGAGGAGACCAGAUGUUUGCAUUAAAUUUUGAAGAAUGAGCAGGAAUUCACCAGCCGAAGGCACAGAUCCUGGAGAAGCAUGUUGUACUCAGAAAGCUGCAAACACUUCAUUAUCACCGGAACAUAGUGGGGGACCAAUAAAAUAAGAACACCUGCUACAAUUUAUUGCAAGCAAAGUAUUAAGUAAUUUCUAAAUGUUUUAUAGACAUCGUCUCCAUCAGUCUUUACAACAACCUGUGAGGUAGGUAUUAUUAGCCCCAUUUUACAGAUGGAGAUGACUUAGUCGCUGAAUAGUGAUAAGCGGCAGAACGUGUAUUUGAACCCAGGUCCACCUGGCUGCAUAGCUGGUGCCCCUAAUCAUCAUGUUUUACUACUGGAUGCAAAGGAGAGCAUUACGGGAGCUGAGCUUCUGGAAGACUCCUGCAUUCCUUGGCUCCUGGCUCCACAUUACUCCAACUUCUGCUUCUGUCAUCAUAUUUCUUUCUCAGACUUGGACCUUUCUGCCCCAUUCUUACAAGGACGCUUAUGAUUACACUGGACACACUCUGAUAAUCCAGGAUAAUCUCCCCAUCUCAAGAUCCUUGACAUCACAUCUGUAAAGUCUCUUUUGCCAUAGACUCGUGGUACAUAUCUGCAAAUUCAGACCCUGGGACACACUCCAGCAAGAAACACUGUUUCAUUUGGCUUAAUCCAGUAUUUCAUAAGCCUAUUUAAUCAUGGAACUGUUUUGAGUCUCUCCUACAAAGAAUCUCCUAUGAAGAAAUGUUUGAGAGAUGCUGCAUUUAGUUCCCUCCCCACUUCCAGGGACUGUAAGCUUUCUUUUAUUUAGCUUUUACCCUGCCUUUUUCAAUUAUAACAAAUGCCAAAGUAGUACCAGAGUUUUUGUUCUUCUGGGUGUUAGUUCUAUUGCAUAGUAAAAGUAGACUGCUUGGGAUUGGGUCCUGAAUCCAUUACUGUACUUACUAGCCACAUAACUUUGGGCAAAUUAACUUAUCUGUGCCUCAGUUUCCAUAGAUGUAAAAUGAAGAUAAUAAUAGUACUUUCCUCAAUAGGGCUGCUGUGAUAAUUUGAGGAUCUCAUGCAUAAAAAAUUUGUCCAGCUUCAGCUGAAAUAAGUCAUCGUGUUCUUUUUUGAAUCAGACCGCUGUACAACAACAUCAGACUUUAGGACAGAUGUACACAGGUAAUACACUGCCUAUAUCAAUACGAGAAAUGUGUUGACCAAAUGUUUUUAUCUCUCGCUUCUAAAUCUGUGUAACAUUUUAUGCCAAUUCCUUUCGCAACCUUAUUAGUGCUAAUGCCAUAAUAGGAAAACUCAAUGUUGAUAGUACCAUUUAAAAUAUAGUCAUAUAUGUUUAAUAUAUUUCAGCCAUUAUCCAUCAAAUACCCCUGAAAGAAAAGUUAUUAGAGAGGUAUAAACCUCAUGUUAGCCAAUCAUUUAUUCUAAGCACUUAAGAGUUCUCUAGUUCAUCAGUUCUCAUUAUGUUUGGGAGAGCCGUGCAUGGUGCGGUAGGAAUCAGCAUUAAUCCCAUUUUCUAAAUAAGGUCUUCAAGGCAUAUGGAAAUUUUAUUUUUAUAUUUUUGCCAGCGGAAGCCAAAAGACACAGGCUAGUUACCAGGGUGGAGGAACACAAGAUGAG
rnacentral:lncRNA from 1 species